GUAGAUCAUCUGCCCUCAGGUCCGGGAUAGCUGCGGGAAACUGCAGGUAAUACCGGAUAACAUCUCCGGAUCAAAGGUGUGAUUCCGCCUGAGGAUGAGUCUGCAUCCUAUUAGCUAGUUGGUAGGGUAACGGCCUACCAAGGCUUUGAUGGGUAGCGGGUGUGAGAGCACGACCCGCGUCAUUGGGACUGAGACACUGCCCAGACACCUACGGGUGGCUGCAGUCGAGAAUCUUCGGCAAUGGGCGCAAGCCUGACCGAGCGACGCCGCGUGUGGGAUGAAGGCCUUCGGGUUGUAAACCACUGUCAGAGGGGAUGAAAUGCAGGUGGGUUCUCCCAUCUGUUUGACAUAGCCUCAGAGGAAGGACGGGCUAAGUUCGUGCCAGCAGCCGCGGUAAGACGAACCGUCCGAACGUUAUUCGGAAUCACUGGGCUUAAAGGGUGCGUAGGCGGCGCGGAUAGUUGGGUGUGAAAUCCCUCGGCUCAACCGAGGAACUGCGCCCAAAACUGCCGUGCUC
rnacentral:rRNA from 1 species